UAACUCUGUACUUGUACGUAGGCUGGUUCUUGCUAGAAAAAUUAACAGCCUCGUGUCCUAGAGGCACAAGAGGGAAAUGAAUACAGCAUGAUGCAAAUCAGGACACACGCAGUUACUCUCGGCAGAGGAAAUGGCUACGGUAGCUGGAACGCUUCACCCAGUGAGUGGCUGAGACAACAGAUGAUUGUGGAUGGGAACUGUAUAUAAGGAUGGGGACUAGCAAUGAAUUUCCCAACAGGGAGUGUGGGAGCUCUGAAGGAAGGCGUGUCAGCAGGAAAAAAAUCAGACCGCAGAGAUGAUAAAGAACAACAACAAUAUAACACUGUUAUCAUUGCAACACGCCUUCAUUUUCACUCAUGCAUCUGCUCGCUCUGUGCAGGCCAACAGCUAUUUGUGCAUGCAAAUCCAAUAACCAACGAGCAAUGUGGAAAUGCAAAGCAAGUGUCUGCCCAUUCAUGCCAGCAACAGCAAAUGUGAACGUGUAAAAAGGGAGGCAAAAAUUGUUGGUGGAAAAUACAGGGCUGGUGCUACCAUUAAGGCAAACCAGGCGGUUGCCUAGGGUGCCAAGAUUUGGGGGCGCCAAAAAGUGGUGCCCCAAAUUUUUUUUACAGUGUUCCUACGCCCCCGCCCCGAGCGCGCGGUCGCCACUCCACUUCUCCCACCUCCCAGGCUUGCAGCGCCAA
rnacentral:lncRNA from 1 species